ensembl:lncRNA
UGUGUUACCUUCACAGACCAUAUCCCCGUAGGAAAUUACACUUUUCAUAAGAAAUUCACAAGAAAAGAAAGAUAACUUAUUUUAAACAAUGCAAACACGUUUUUAAUCAUUUUACAUGAACUUUUAUCUUUUUAAUGUACAAGAAAGUUGAACAAAUGAAUUUAACUCUUUGGUAUUUAUAUUCUUAGACUUUACUUAUCUUUUACUAUUCAUUCUUCUUUUUAACCCGGGUUACAGUAAAGCUAUCUGUCCUACAGCACCGAGCUGACCGUCCCACAGGACGGCGCUUACCGUCCUACAGCACCGAGCUGACCGUCCUACAGCUCCGAGCUCACCGUCCUACAGCUCCGAGCUCACCGUCCUACAGCACGGCGCUUACCGUCCUACAGCUCCGAGCUUACCGUCCUACAGCUCCGAGCUCACCGUCCUACAGCUCCGAGCUUACCGUCCUACAGCACCGAGCUCACCGUCCUACAGCUCCGAGCUCACCGUCCUACAGCACGGCGCUCACCGUCCUACAGCACGGAGCUAUGCAGCCGACAGCAAUUGCUUGUUGAUGUACACAGACGGACAGGAGACAUGCUGUUUUGUUGAAGUGCGAGAGUAACUUUUAUUGAUAUUAUUGUCAUUUUAUUUGUGUUGCCAUAGGCAAACUCACCCGUUUGUAGAUUACACUUGGAUUAUUUAUCACAAAAGAAGAUAUAAGUACGGUGGCUGGGAAGUGCAAAGCACAUUUACAACAUAGACAACAAAAUAACAUUUUAGAAAACACUUCUACAUAAAAAAAAGGCAAAUAAAAAAAUUGACAACAAAAUAACAAGUCCGCAACAAAUUAACAAGUGGCUCUUGACGGAAAGGGAUUGUCUGAAAUACCGGAAGUGACUCAACAAUGUUUCUGGCCCAAACAAAGCGCUAGCGGAAGAGGAGCGAAAGCACACGGAUAACACCAGCUAUGGUUCGUACUUGCUGUGCGGUCGGUUGUAAUGUUAGAUCGCACGACCGGCAAGGGAAUAAGCUUGAAAUGGUUUAUCUUUUCAUUCUUUCCCCACCUGGAAGCAACAUGAGGCAGCUCAUGUAUCAGAUGUUACCAAAAGAAGACGUCUAGUCUGGAUAGCAGCUGUGAGACGAGCUGAUAUCCAGCUCUCUUCCAUCUCCAAAUAUCUGUUGGUGCUCCAGAUAUUUUCAUUCCGGCAAACCAGCCUAUGAAAUGGAUGAAACACAUCGUGACUGGGUUCCAGCGCUACACAAGGGGCACUCCGAAAUCCCUGCUUCAAACAUACCGCCAUGCCAAUCAGAUUACUUCUUCCCUGUGAGGGUGAAGAUGUGACCCUUCUGGAUAAGAUGGUGAAGGUUUGCUGCGUUUUGGUGAACAGUGUGGUAGUAAAACCAGGGAAAAAUGAAACUUGCGCCUGUUAAAUAUUCUUAAGUCUUGCGCUGUAUAAAUAGCAGUAGUUUUUCAAAAGAUACAGUAAAUUAAGUAGUGAUAGUAUUUGGUGAUAUCAUGUAAACGCUGUCAUGAUUUUGUGUAAACAUUUUGUCAUUUGUAAACUAUAAAUGACAUUGAUUCUACAUUGUAACUGAUGUGAUGUUCUAUAAAGUGGUUUUAAUAAAAAACAAAAGGCAA